GAGUAAUCUCACAAUUACAG
rnacentral:snRNA from 1 species